rnacentral:snoRNA from 1 species
CUUCUCUGUGAUGAGGACCUUUCACAGACCUGUACUGAAUCCCCUGAGGAUAAAAAACUCUGAGACUGG